CGGACCGGCGCACGGGUGAGUAACGCGUAUGCAACUUACCUAUCAGAGGGGAUAACCCGGCGAAAGUCGGACUAAUACCGCAUGAAGCAGGGGUCCCGCAUGGGGAUAUUUGCUAAAGAUUCAUCGCUGAUAGAUAGGCAUGCGUUCCAUUAGGCAGUUGGCGGGGUAACGGCCCACCAAACCGACGAUGGAUAGGGGUUCUGAGAGGAAGGUCCCCCACAUUGGUACUGAGACACGGACCAA
rnacentral:rRNA from 1 species